rnacentral:rRNA from 1 species
UACGUAGGGUGCAAGCGUUAAUCGGAAUUACUGGGCGUAAAGCGUGCGCAGGCGGCUUUGCAAGACAGAUGUGAAAUCCCCGGGCUUAACCUGGGAACUGCAUUUGUGACUGCAUGGCUAGAGUGCGGCAGAGGGGGAUGGAAUUCCGCGUGUAGCAGUGGAAUGCGCAGAUAUCAGGAGGAACACCAAUAGCGAAGGCAGCUCGCUGGGACGGUACUGACGCUGAGGUGCGAAAGCGUGGGGAGCAAACAGG